GACGGAGGGAGCUAGCGUUGUUCGGAAUUACUGGGCGUAAAGCGCGCGUAGGCGGUUUCUCAAGUCAGAGGUGAAAGCCCGGGGCUCAACCCCGGAACUGCCUUUGAAACUAGGAGACUGGAAUCUUGGAGAGGUCAGUGGAAUUCCGAGUGUAGAGGUGAAAUUCGUAGAUAUUCGGAAGAACACCAGUGGCGAAGGCGACUGACUGGACAAGUAUUGACGCUGAGGUGCGAAAGCGUGGGGAGCAAACAGG
rnacentral:rRNA from 1 species